rnacentral:rRNA from 1 species
GGAUGAACGCUGGCGGCGUGCCUAAUACAUGCAAGUCGAGCGAACGGACGAGAAGCUUGCUUCUCUGAUGUUAGCGGCGGACGGGUGAGUAACACGUGGAUAACCUACCUAUAAGACUGGGAUAACUUCGGGAAACCGGAGCUAAUACCGGAUAAUAUUUUGAACCGCAUGGUUCAAAAGUGAAAGACGGUCUUGCUGUCACUUAUAGAUGGAUCCGCGCUGCAUUAGCUAGUUGGUAAGGUAACGGCUUACCAAGGCAACGAUGCAUAGCCGACCUGAGAGGGUGAUCGGCCACACUGGAACUGAGACACGGUCCAGACUCCUACGGGAGGCAGCAGUAGGGAAUCUUCCGCAAUGGGCGAAAGCCUGACGGAGCAACGCCGCGUGAGUGAUGAAGGUCUUCGGAUCGUAAAACUCUGUUAUUAGGGAAGAACAUAUGUGUAAGUAACUGUGCACAUCUUGACGGUACCUAAUCAGAAAGCCACGGCUAACUACGUGCCAGCAGCCGCGGUAAUACGUAGGUGGCAAGCGUUAUCCGGAAUUAUUGGGCGUAAAGCGCGCGUAGGCGGUUUUUUAAGUCUGAUGUGAAAGCCCACGGCUCAACCGUGGAGGGUCAUUGGAAACUGGAAAACUUGAGUGCAGAAGAGGAAAGUGGAAUUCCAUGUGUAGCGGUGAAAUGCGCAGAGAUAUGGAGGAACACCAGUGGCGAAGGCGACUUUCUGGUCUGUAACUGACGCUGAUGUGCGAAAGCGCGGGGAUCAAACAGGAUUAGAUACCCUGGUAGUCCACGCCGUAAACGAUGAGUGCUAAGUGUUAGGGGGUUUCCGCCCCUUAGUGCUGCAGCUAACGCAUUAAGCACUCCGCCUGGGGAGUACGACCGCAAGGUUGAAACUCAAAGGAAUUGACGGGGACCCGCACAAGCGGUGGAGCAUGUGGUUUAAUUCGAAGCAACGCGAAGAACCUUACCAAAUCUUGACAUCCUUUGACAACUCUAGAGAUAGAGCCUUCCCCUUCGGGGGACAAAGUGACAGGUGGUGCAUGGUUGUCGUCAGCUCGUGCCGUGAGAUGUUGGGUUAAGUCCCGCAACGAGCGCAACCCUUAAGCUUAGUUGCCAUCAUUAAGUUGGGCACUCUAAGUUGACUGCCGGUGACAAACCGGAGGAAGGUGGGGAUGACGUCAAAUCAUCAUGCCCCUUAUGAUUUGGGCUACACACGUGCUACAAUGGACAAUACAAAGGGCAGCGAAACCGCGAGGUCAAGCAAAUCCCAUAAAGUUGUUCUCAGUUCGGAUUGUAGUCUGCAACUCGACUACAUGAAGCUGGAAUCGCUAGUAAUCGUAGAUCAGCAUGCUACGGUGAAUACGUUCCCGGGUCUUGUACACACCGCCCGUCACACCACGAGAGUUUGUAACACCCGAAGCCGGUGGAGUAACCUUUUAGGAGCUAGCCGUCGAAGGUGGGACAAAUGAUUGGGGUGAAGUCGUACCAAGG